GCUUUUGACUACUGGGGAAAAGGAACCAUGGUCACUGUAUCCUCAGCUGAGGCAAAAGCACCACAGUAUGUCUUUGGCCUUUCUGAAUGUGGUUCCGGUUCUGAUGGCUUCCAGACUGUCGGCUGCAUUGCAAAAGGUUUCUCGCCCGCGGACUCGCUCACAUUCAAAUGGACAGAUCCUAAAGGACAACCGGUGAAUGAUUUUGUACAGUAUCAAACAAUCGGACAGGAGGGAGAUUACACCAAAAUCAGCCAUCUGCGUGUGAAGAAAAGCGGUUUUACUCCUGAUAAACCUUACAAAUGCGAAGCUAAAAAUUCUGUCGACAAAAAGGAAGCAAUUGUUGUUCUAGCAUCCCCACAGCCAGAUCAGCGUGCAUCUGUGUACUUAACAACUCCUACAAAUGAAUUAGAAAGUGGAACAGCUACUUUCAUCUGUGUAGCCAAGCACUUUUUCCCAGAAAAGCACUCGUUUAAGUGGUUUCAUGGUGAUGUGGAGGUAAAAAGUGAAGGAAAAAGUGAUGAAUGUGUAGGUAAGAAGAAAACCAAUGUAACUCUAUUUACCGCCACAAGCAUUUUGCAAUUACAAUCUGACAUUUGGACCAAGCCUGGAAACAAAAUUAAGUGUGUGUUCGAGCACAAGGCUGGAAAUGAAGUGAAAGAAAUUAGUUACACAGCAACACUCUCGCUGACCCUGAAGCCACCAAUACAGAGAAACAUAUUCCUCUUCAGUGAUGUGAUCUUGCAGGCUGUUGUUUCUGGAAAUGAAAACAAAGCAGUGGAAAAUGCCUCUGUGUCAUGUGAAGUGGAACAUAAAGCUUUAACCUUAAGUAAAGCUGUAAUACAAUCACAAGACAAUUCACAGUUUCAAAAAAUCCACAAUGUCACUGUUAAUAGAGAUAUAUGGUUUGAUGGGAAAAUGGUCAUCUGUACUACCAGUGACAAAAAAAUAACGCAGAAGAUCAGUUUUAAUAAAGGAGAUUCAAAGAAACCCAGUCUUGUCAUUUAUGAACGCAGUGACAAUACAAGCCCUUCAAAACACUCUCUGUUAUGUGAGGUCAGCAGUCCUCAACUUGGUGAUGUUUAUAUCAUGUGGAAAGAAGGUAAUGAAGAAAAAUAUAAAGAGGGUUAUACCAGUGCUCCAAUCCAUCGAAAGGACUCCAUAUCUGUCAUCAGCUUAUUUGAAGUGUCUGAUGAACAACACAAAGAAUCUACGGUCUCUUGCGCAGUCAUGCAUGCCAACAUGGACAAUACAAGAUCACCAUUAAUAAUAACAACAAGCAAAAAUGAGCCUCCAGAACCCGAGAGAGGCUUUGCAUUACACUGUAAUAAAGAAGUUUCUGAGGAGGAUGAGUUCAGAAGUCUCUGGUCUACUGCCACCUCAUUCAUCUUCCUCUUCCUCUUUUCUCUGACCUACAGCGCUCUUAUCAGCCUAUCUAAGAUGAAGCAGUGAAAAUAUUAAGAAAAGAAAAUGAAGACUCAAAGGAUUUUUUUUUGUCAUCAUUAUGUAAAAUUGAGAUUGCUGAAAUGACAUUAUUUUUUUUUUUUUUUGAGAUAUAGACAAUUAUGCAGUCAUAAUUAAUUGAUCCACAUGUGAAGGUUUUGUUUAAGAAGUAGAAUAGUUUUGUUUAAUGUAAAAAAUAUUCAAAUCAUUUCAGAUCUUUCAGUUGUUUAGUGUAAAAACAGAAAAUGUGUACAAAUAAAAUAUUUCAUAUAAAAGCUGUAACAGAAAUUUACUUUAUCUAAUCCCUAUUCUAUAAAACCUUUUACUGUUUGUACACAAUGAUGACGUGACACCGUAUGUGCACGCAUUUUGGCAAUGGAAGUAAGGCAAGAAUCAGCAGUGAAGCACAAACACAGAGACAGUUAUUUUAAAAAGUUGACUUAUCAACUUUUUCAACAGCUACAAGAUCCAUGCACUGUAGUGGAGUGGAUAGAAGACGUUAGCAGAUGGCCAAAUAUAAAGUGGUUAUAGACGGUUUCAUUGGACGCACAUGAGCUGACGCGAUACACGUCUGGAUUCGAACUUUACUUCCGGUUUCGGUUUUUUUAUGGUCUGAUUAGUUG